rnacentral:rRNA from 1 species
UACGUAGGGGGCAAGCGUUAUCCGGAAUUACUGGGUGUAAAGGGAGCGUAGACGGUAAUGUAAGUCUGGAGUGAAAGGCGGGGGCCCAACCCCCGGACUGCUCUGGAAACUAUGUUACUAGAGUGCAGGAGAGGUAAGCGGAAUUCCUAGUGUAGCGGUGAAAUGCGUAGAUAUUAGGAGGAACACCAGUGGCGAAAGCGGCUCUCUGGCCUGUAACUGACACUGAGGCUCGAAAGCGUGGGGAGCAAACAGG